UGUAAUUUCAUUUUUUAAUUUUUUGGAAUAAAUAUCCGAAUUCUUCUUUCUCUUUGGGAUUAUAUUAUUUGGAUUUGAUAUUUGUUUUGGAUCAGAUCAUAGGCAUUUCUUCUUUGGUUAUUCGUGGGGCAUGUCCAGUUUUUUGGAGGCUGUGUCUUAUUUUCUUAGAACAUUUAUAAACUUCUAUAUUUUUUUUCAAUGUCUAUUGAGAUGAUAUUGGUUUUAUUUACUGGGUAAUGGCAACUUUUUAUUGUUUGAGAUAAAAUGACGAUUUGGGAUAUUGUUUCUGUGUUCACGAUUUGGGAUAUCUGGAAUAUUUAUUGUUUGUUUAUUUUUUUUGCAGUUGUUUAGCAUCUCUCUUGGUGAGCUUUGAGGUUCUAGGCAUUGAUUUUAACUUUUCUUUUUAGUUUGGGUGUAAGUUGGGUUUGAAUUUGUACCGAUCUAUUAAGUUUUAUAUGGAGGAUGUUUUGAAUUUUUUGGAUGGUUUGCGUCUGAUAAUUUUCAGGUUUUGAUUUGGGGUUAAAAUUUUUGUUUUGGAUGAUUUGGGUCAGAUAAUCUUUGUUCAUGUGCACAAAGGGUGUUUAAGAAGCUCCUUUGUGGGGGGUUUAGAGGUGGCUAAUGCUCUGAUUUUAGUGUCCAGGUACUCAGAGGACAGGGUUUGACACUUACUAUUCCAGCUUGUAGGAGUACAAAGCCACUUGAGGAGAAUGCCAAGUUAAAACUUGCUCAAUUUUGCUUCCUGCGUCCUUUUGCCUUUGGCAAUUUCUCCUCUUUUGUCUGUUCUAGUGUUUAAUGGAGCAAAUACCCUUGUUGCUUUGGUGCGUUUACAACAACUGAAAUUAAUAAGUUUCCCUAUUUAUUAGCAUCUUGUUUCCAGUGAUUUUUAAAUUUCCCCUGUUGCUGUAGAACGAAUAUAACGGUGAGAAGAAUUAUGAACUGUAGGAGUUCCUUUUAAUCACGAUCUGGUAGUUUUGAUGGAUUACCAACUUCUUUUAUUGAUGAUUUGUUAAGGCUUUUGGAUGAAUGUAGCUGCCGUUUUGUAUUUGUAUCUUUAUGUGCAUUUUUAUCAUGGGUUGUAAUCAUAAGUAUAAUUUGGAUUUCUUGCUUUAUGUUUCUUUGGUUCUAUAAUGGUUUGCAAAAUGUUU